UUGCAGUAUGGUGGCUCUGCCGCACACAACAAGGUAAUCCUUUCUGAAUAAGGUUGAAUUUACAAUUUGUGCUUUUGUAGAUAUUACAAAAUGCAACUGGCAACAGAGAUAUUUGCUUCUAAUAUGUUUGCCAGUAGGGAUGUGUAUUGCCUUUGAACUUUUGUUUGAUGAAUUUAAUGAAUUUGUUUCAUCUAAGGUUAUAAACUCAUGGGUGUAGCUGUUGUUCGUUAGUGAAUAGUAAAGAAGUGUAGAAUUUUAGAAUCAGUAAAAGAAUUAUGUACUGUAAUUUUCAAUAAAUAUAUUUUAAAGUGAUGCAAAAGCUCAAUCUAGUCCUAAAGAUAUAAUAUUAACUAGCUAAUGUGGUAGUGCCAUUCAAGCGUUCAGCAUGUGCAUGCUGUGUAAAACAUUCAAAUGAGUAUAAUCUAUUCAACCAUGCCAACUGGUGGUUUCAUUGUGUCUGAGAUUUGAUUUAACAAAAGUAACUUCAUAUCCAGUCAUCUAUUUGGUUGUGAUGAGCAAAGAACAAAAGAAUUUAAUUUUCAAUGUCCACACCCGUCCAUCAGCGAUGAACUAAGCGAGCUGAGUUAGGACAGAUUAUUUAGUGCAGGAAACAAUUUAUUUAUUAUCAUUAAUAUUAUUAGUUAAUCAUUUUAAAAGUAAAACAAUUGUAUGCUUUUCCUACCUUUUUUCUUCUCAAAAUAAUUGAUUUGUCCACCCCUUGGGAUAUUUGUCGAUUUGCGCUUAAAGAAAUAGCUCUUUCUCUAGAAUGAAAUCCAGUUGAGAUGAAGGAGCGGAAA
rnacentral:misc_RNA from 1 species